rnacentral:sRNA from 1 species
GUCGUGAGAUGUUGGGUUAAGUCCCGCAACGAGCGCAACCCUCGUCGUAUGUUGCCAGCAUUUAGUUGGGGACUCAUGCGAGACUGCCGGUGACAAACCGGAGGAAGGCGGGGAUGACGUCAAGUCAUCAUGCCCCUUAUGUCCAGGGCUACACACGUGCUACAUUGGCGCGUACAGAGGGCUGCGAUACCGCGAGGUGGAGCGAAUCCCUUAAAGCGCGUCUCGGUUCGGAUUGAAGGCUGAAACUCGCCUUCAUGAAGGCGGAGUUGCUAGUAAUCGCGGAUCAGCAUUGCCGCGGUGAAUACGUUCCCGGGCCUUGUACACACCGCCCGUCACACCACGGGAGUGAGCAACACCCGAAGCCGGUGGCCCAACCCUUUGGGAGGGAGCCGUCGAAGGUGGGGCUCGUGACUGGGGUGAAGUCGUAACAAGGUAGCCGUAGCGGAAGCUGCGGCUGGAUCACCUCCUUUCUAGGGAGCACCCAGUUGGGUGCCCGUCGGGCUUCAGGCUCGGCGGCCUAGCAUAUCGACCGGUCCUGGAUGGCGUGAGCUCUCGAGCUCGCGUUCGCAUGCUGCUGAGUUUUGAGAGACCGACCGGUCUCGUCCGCGGCCGCGCCCCCGUGUGCGGCCGCCGGCGUGAUCGGACAGCCCCUCUCGGCGGUCCUUGAAAACUGCACAGGUGUCACACACAACGACGGCGUACUUCGGUACGCGCGUCGUAGCAACGGGUUCACCGAGCCGCGUAAGAACGCCGACGUUUUCGUUGGCGGGGUUACGCGGCUUAGAUCACCGUCAAGAUAGUAAGGGCAUGUGGUGGAUGCCUUGGCACCUAGAGUCGAUGAAGGGCGUGGACGGCUGCGAUAAGCCACGGUGAGGCGCUGAACAGCCUUUGACCCGUGGAUGC